GUUGGGUACUUGGGUCUCUUGCUUGUAUUUUGUUUUGGUGAUUUAUACCAAUAAUAAUUAUUUUUUUCCAGAAUCUUUUGAAUCUGCCAAAACAAUUUCGGCCCCUGCAUCCAAGACCCUUUCGAAAGUGGGUAAAUCCACUUCUAAUGGUGUUUUGAAGCAUGGAAGCAAAGUAGCAUCUUCUAGAAUUGUUGGUACGGAGGCUUUGAGGUCAGAAUCAAUUAUGUCCAUUCAAGAUAUAGCAGUUCAAUCGCAGGCUUUACUAAAUGUUAAAGAUUCCAAUAAGGAGGAUAGGGAAAGAUUGGUAGUAAGGAGGUUUAAGUUUGAAGAUCCACGGAUAGAACAAAUUCAAGACCUUGAGAAUGAUUUGAUGAAGUACUUCAGAGAGGAUUUGCAUAGACGGCUUCUAAGCACAUAUUUUAAGAAGCAAAUUGAUGGGCUUGAGAUGCUGCAAAAGGAUGGCUAUGCUAUACAAAGCUUUAAGUGAGGAAUGGCUGCACAAAAGAGUCAAAUUUUUUUUUUCAACACAUAAAUAUUGCAUUUGACGGAUCAGUAGUAACUACUUCACAGGAAGGAUGCCUGAGUUUGGCAAUUUGAAACAGCUUCAGAAGUUGUAAGAGCUAUUGACCACACUCCUUUUGUCUUUUCUUCUUUACACCACACUCCUUUUGCUUAUUUUGUGAAUUUUCUUUCACUCUACAUGAUGAUUCUGAGGUUUGCUAUCAGUUUUCCUCUGGAAUAAAGGUACAAUUUUUUUCUUUUUGAGUACUUUAAUUGAGAUUAGUAUGGUAGAAACUUGUGUUAUAAAUUUUAUGGUUUCUUCUCAUAUCAACUGAAAGAAGAUUAAGAAAAAGUAGUUUGAAAGAGAAAAACAAAAAGGACUAGUCUACAGAAAAUUGCCAUAUCUUACCUUCUUCAAGUGAUGUUAGUAGGGCAGUUUCUGAAUUCUCUUCGUAUAAAUAAAGCUAGAUGGUUUAUGCAUCAGGCAGCUCCCAAUCCUUGGGUUGUCGCCACCAGUAUGGAUUAAAAAAAACAAACACCUAUAAUAAAAUUAUCCACUUUUUUUUAUUUAUUUUCUUGAAAAUCUUUAGCUCCUUCUGGAAAAAGCUGAUCAGCCAAUUGGGAUGAGCUCAGAAUCUUUUAUGCAAAAGCCUUGAAUCAGUAAUAGCACAAACCAGCCAUGGUAAACUUGAAACAACCUUGGGGCACUGCAGUGCAUGCCAAUAAGCUGAUCUUCAACAAAUAAAAAAAUUAUAAACAUGGACAAAGAGAGAGCCUUCAUCACAUAGAUCAGGUCAGCCUCUUAUUACUUGCUUUUCACCAGUUUAUCUAAUAAUUGAACUUUUGCAGCUUAAGCUAGUGCUGAAGAAAAUUGAAAGUAGAUCAUCAAGAAAAGAGUAUAUUCAGCUACUUGCAGAAUGCCACAAACUUUAUUGUGAGCAGAGUAUAUUCAGUUAUUAUUGUAGCUUUUUUUUAAUCAGCUUUGGCUGACCUCCAGUUUUGGGCUUUUAUUUUGCUCGUUUCUUAGUUUUAGCUCUCGGACUUGGAAAUUGUGAUAAUCAAGCCGUGACCCAAUUUUUGUUUAAAUCCUUUGAUGCUUUCCUCAUAUUAAUCUAGUUAGGAUUCUCAUCUUUAAUAGCUGAACUUUUUUUUUUCUUUUGGCAAAAGUGACAUGUUUUAUGUUAUAUUUUGGGGCAUGUUAUUGUUCAGUUGCUGUUCUUUUACUUUUAGCUGUUGCUCUUCUUUGUGUGUACAAACUUUGUGUUGUGUAUGUUACAGCUGGUUCAGCAAUUGCCUUAGCAAUUAACCUGCUCUUUAUAUGUAGAAUGGUGUUUAAUGGUACAUGCAGUUCUCUUGUCUGAAGUUUUGGUCAUUUGUUUCUAUGUUUUCUGCCUUUGCAAUAGCAAUUGAAUCUAUUAUGUGCAAGAUUUAUAGUUUGCCACCUAUUAUGUGCCACAGAAAAUCUGUUUCUUAUUGCAAAGUUUUAAUAUUGAUAUUUCUUUCCAUGCUUAUUUUUGCAUGACUAGAGCUAAUUUUCAGAUUAAGCAUGCCCAGCAUCUUACACUUGGGACUGCAAACAGGUUUGGUGAACUAAGGAUUAUUGCUUCAGUACAGGUUCAUCACAGCUCUCUGUUGCACUCUAGUAACAUUUAAGAAUUUGGAAAUAUCUUGUCUUGAAAAGAAUUUGGAUAUGAGACUCGGUGUAGUCACCAAAGAAACUAAACCUGGUCUAACUGUAAGUCUUCUAUAUAUCAUAUUAACUGAAAAUCUAGCUUUCUAGAGACUACAGAGAUAUUGAUUACUGCUAAAUUAUUCAUGCUAUAUUAUAGGAAGAUGACAUGCUAUUUGAUUGAAACUAAUCUAGAUUUUUGAUGAACACUUAGAAUCUUGUGCAACUGGGAUAUCUAACUGAAACUAAUCUAGAUUUCUGAUGUUUUGACAAUACUAAUUAACUAAAAGCUUCUGCAGCAAUACCUGCUAGGCUGUGUGUUUUGCUUUAAUGGGCAUUGAGUGUGGUAAAUACUGUUCUUUUCCUGUGUACCGUGUUAUGUUUGUUUCUUGUCAUGUUAAUGCUCUUGUCUCUUAUCAUUUGCCCAAGGUUGUUGAGAUCAUCUGCACUUUGGUCAGGAAAUUAUCUCCUAAUCCUAAUAGUGCUGCUAUAAUGGCCAUGGGUGUUAACAUCUUGGGUUCAUGGGAGGAGCUUCCAUUGUUGGGUUCAUGGGAGGAGCUGUCAUUACAAUUGCCCUUCACCAGCUCAAAGGAUUGCUUGGCAUAAAAAAGAAUUUCACAAAGAAGAAUCUCUGUUUUGCGCUCAGUGUUUAAUUCAACCCACCAUGUUGUAAUAUGAUUUCUUAAGCCUAGACUAAUAGACUAAAUAUUGUAAUUACAUUUGAGUAAUUAAUAAAAAUCUAUUU